UAUAGAGGUGCGAUGUUUAUCAGUAACCAUUUUCAUAUGCACGGCAUUGCAGAAAAUGAUGAAAGGAACCAUCGCCGAAAGGGGUAUUUUUUGCCGGAAAUAUCCUUUGGGACGACAUAUAAUAUGUGUCGUACUGUCACCGGAAGGUGGAGUGCUAUCG
rnacentral:ncRNA from 1 species